rnacentral:rRNA from 1 species
CUGCUGCCUCCCGUAGGAGUCUGGCCGUGUCUCAGUUCCAGUGUGGGGGGCCUUCCUCUCAGAACCCCUA